UACGGAGGGUGCGAGCGUUGUCCGGAAUCACUGGGCGUAAAGGGCGCGUAGGCGGCAUGCCAAGCGUGUGGUGAAAAGCCCGGGGCUCAACCCCCGGGGUCGGCCAUGCGGACUGGCGUGCUCGAGCACUGUAGGGGGCGGGUGGAAUUCCGGGUGUAGGCGGUGGAAUGCGUAGAGGAUCCGGAAGAACACCGGUGGCGAAGGCGGCC
rnacentral:rRNA from 1 species